GCGGUGGAGGACAUGACUCAGGCUCUCCAGCAGCCAUGAUGUCUUGGUACCAGCGUUCGAGGUUAAUAGGCGGCAUUGCAUUCCUGCUCAGCUCAGGUUGGCUCUGAGUGAUGAAAAGCAUCAAGCCAGUAAACACCGUCAUGACCAGCUAACAGCUCUUCAAACUGAAGGAAGUUGGGAGAAAUCACUCGUCAGGGGAAUAAAAUCCUAUCCUCCCAUAGAGAAUUCACUCAUUACCUCUUGAUGCGUGCUCUCGGUGCUGCUGGACUCCUCUCUCUGUGUGUCCUCCUCGUGGUCCCUCGCCCUCUGAGCUCUCUCCACUCCCUGAGGGGAAACCUUCUCCCCUGUGGCCGAGCUGCUUCCUCUGGUCGUCCCCGGCAGACCACUCCCCACUACCUCCGCCAGCUCCACAGCACUAUCUUCAUGAUUGUACUCCGCACACAGAUUCAAGAUGGUCUCCAGCCUCUGUCGCUCCUAUAGAAGAUAUGAAAAAUAUUAAUAGAUGACAGUAUCAUCUAUUUAAACUCAGAUUGCAUUAAACCACAUUUUAGUGUAGGAGAUUUUUUUUUCCUUUUUCCUUGUGUUGUGUUGGGUUUGCUUGUGGCCUGCUCUACUGUCACUCUGAACAAUAGGCCUUAAUCUAUUACACCGACAAUGAGAAAUAUGUAAUCGUCAUUAUUGUUAAAGAAUAAUGAGUCUGACAAGACGAGGGGCAAUUGUGAGUGAUGUACAGCAGCUGAAUCACUGUUGUUUCCACAACCACCAGCCCACUUUUGUCUGGUAUUUAAAUGAUCUCAACUGCUGGUAAAACAAGCCCAACGCCUCUGUAGUGGUUAUUGGCUUUCACAGCCAGACAGUUGUUUAUUCCUUGAGUAACACAAUAAAAAAAAGUUGUGCAUUA